rnacentral:rRNA from 1 species
UACGUAGGGCGCGAGCGUUGUCCGGAUUUAUUGGGCGUAAAGAGCUCGUAGGCGGUUUGUCACGUCUGCUGUGAAAUCCCGAGGCUCAACCUCGGGUCUGCAGUGGGUACGGGCAGACUGGAGUGCGGUAGGGGAGAAUGGAAUUCCUGGUGUAGCGGUGGAAUGCGCAGAUAUCAGGAGGAACACCGAUGGCGAAGGCAGUUCUCUGGGCCGUAACUGAUGCUGAGGAGCGAAAGCGUGGGGAGCGAACAGG